rnacentral:rRNA from 1 species
UACGAAAGGGGCUAGCGUUUUUCGGAAUUACUGGGCGUAAAGCGCACGUAGGCGGCCUUGUAAGUUGGGGGUGAAAUCCCGGGGCUCAACUCCGGAACUGCCUUCAAGACUGCAAAGCUAGAGGACGCGAGAGGUUAGCGGAAUUCCGAGUGUAGAGGUGAAAUUCGUAGAUAUUCGGAAGAACACCAGUGGCGAAGGCGGCUAACUGGCGCGUUUCUGACGCUGAGGUGCGAAAGCGUGGGGAGCAAACAGG